UACGGAGGGUGCGAGCGUUGUCCGGAAUCACUGGGCGUAAAGGGCGCGUAGGCGGCGCGGGUAGUCAUCGGUGAAAGUUCAGGGCUCAACUCUGAAUCGGCCGGUGAUACUCCCGUGCUCGAGCAUUGUAGAGGCAGGUGGAAUUCCGGGUGUAGCGGUGGAAUGCGUAGAGAUCCGGAAGAACACCGGUGGCGAAGGCGGCCUGCUGGGCAGUAGCUGACGCUGGUGCGCGACAGCGUGGUGAGCAAACAGG
rnacentral:rRNA from 1 species